UUACUGCUGUCGGAGUUUUGGAACAUGAAACCCCUACAGCGUCUCAAGAUCAGAUGUACAUUACUGCAGUCGGAGUUUUGGAACAUGAACCCUCUACAGCGUCUCAAGAUCAGAUGUACAUUACUGCAGUCCGAGUUUUGGAACAUGAAC